rnacentral:rRNA from 1 species
AGUGAACGCUGGCGGUAGGCCUAACACAUGCAAGUCGAACGGCAGCACAGUAAGAGCUUGCUCUUACCGUUGGCGAGUGGCGGACGGGUGACGAAUACAUCGGAAUCUACUUUUUCGUGGGGGAUAACGGAGGGAAACUUACGCUAAUACCGCAUACGACCUACCGGUGAAAGCAGUGGAUCUUCGCACCUUGCGCGAUUCAAUUAGCCGAUGUCGGAUUAGCUAGUUGGCGUGGUAAAGGCCCACCAAGGCGACGAUCCGUAGCUGGUCUGAGAGGAUGAUCAGCCACACUGGAACUGAGACACGGUCCAGACUCCUACGGGAGGCAGCAGUGGGGAAUAUUGGACAAUGGGCGCAAGCCUGAUCCAGCAAUACCGCGUGGGUGAAGAAGGCCUUCGGGUCGUAAAGCCCUUUUGUUGGGAAAGAACAGCAGCAGGUUAAUACCCCGCUGUUCUGACGGUACCCAAAGAAUAAGCACCGGCUAACUUCGUG